GAUGAACGCUGGCGGCGUGCCUAAUACAUGCAAGUCGAACGCUUCACUUCGGUGAAGAGUGGCGAACGGGUGAGUAAUACAUAAGUAACCUGGCAUCUACAGGGGGAUAACUGAUGGAAACGUCAGCUAAGACCGCAUAGGUGUAGAGAUCGCAUGAACUCUAUAUGAAAAGUGCUACGGGACUGGUAGAUGGUGGACUUAUGGCGCAUUAGCUUGUUGGUAGGGUAACGGCCUACCAAGGCGACGAUGCGUAGCCGACCUGAGAGGGUGACCGGCCACACUGGGACUGAGACACGGCCCAGACUCCUACGGGAGGCAGCAGUAGGGAAUUUUCGGCAAUGGGGGAAACCCUGACCGAGCAACGCCGCGUGAAGGAAGAAGUAAUUCGUUAUGUAAACUUCUGUCAUAGAGGAAGAACGGUGGAUAUAGGGAAUGAUAUCCAAGUGACGGUACUCUAUAAGAAAGCCACGGCUAACUACGUG
rnacentral:rRNA from 1 species